UAUUAGAUAAAGAACCAAUAUUUUUGGUGACUCAUAAUAACUUUACGGAUCACAUUAUGUGACAUAUCAUUCAAGUUUCUGACCUAUCAGCUUUAGACGGUAGGGUAUUGGCCUACCGUGGCUAUGACGGGUAACGGGGAAUUAGGGUUCGAUUCCGGAGAGGGAGCCUGAGAAACGGCUACCACAUCUAAGGAAGGCAGCAGGCGCGCAAAUUACCCAAUCCUAAUACAGGGAGGUAGUGACAAGAAAUAACAAUACAGGACCUUACGGUUUUGUAAUUGGAAUGAGUUAAGUAUAAACCCCUUAACAAGUAUCAAUUGGAGGGCAAGUCUGGUGCCAGCAGCCGCGGUAAUUCCAGCUCCAAUAGCGUAUAUUAAAGUUGUUGCAGUUAAAAAGCUCGUAGUUAAUUUUCUGUUAAUUUUUAUAUACAAUACUACGGUAUUUAUAUAAUAUUAACAUAAUUCAUAUUACUUUUUAGUAUAUGAAACUUUACUUUGAGAAAAUUAGAGUGCUUAAAGCAGGCUAUUGCCUUGAAUACUCCAGCAUGGAAUAAUAUUAAGGAUUUUUAUUCUUCUUAUUGGUUCUAGAAUAAAAAUAAUGAUUAAUAGGGACAGUUGGGGGCAUUUGUAUUUAACAGUCAGAGGUGAAAUUCUUAGAUUUGUUAAAGACAAACUACUGCGAAAGCAUUUGCCAAGGAUGUUUUCAUUAAUCAAGAACGAAAGUUAGGGGAUCGAAGACGAUCAGAUACCGUCGUAGUCUUAACCAUAAACUAUGCCAACUAGAGAUUGGAGGUUGUC
rnacentral:rRNA from 1 species